rnacentral:rRNA from 1 species
UGGAGAAUAUUGCGCAAUGGGCGAAAGCCUGACGCAGCAACGCCGCGUGAGUGACGAAGGCCUUAGGGUUGUAAAACUCUUUCGUCGGGGACGAUAAUGACGGUACCCGAAGAAGAAGCUCCGGCUAACUUCGUGCCAGCAGCCGCGGUAAUACGAAGGGAGCUAGCGUUGUUCGGAAUCACUGGGCGUAAAGCGCACGUAGGCGGAUAGUUAAGUCAGGGGUGAAAUCCUGGGGCUCAACCCCAGAACUGCCUUUGAUACUGGCUGUCUCGAGGUCGAGAGAGGUUGGUGGAAUUCCUAGUGUAGAGGUGAAAUUCGUAGAUAUUAGGAAGAACACCAGUGGCGAAGGCGGCCAACUGGCUCGAUACUGACGCUGAGGUGCGAAAGCGUGGGGAGCAAACAGGAUUAGAUACCCAAGUAGUCCCUGAGCGGGCUGGCAAGGCGCAU